rnacentral:rRNA from 1 species
UACAGGGGGUGCAAACGUUGCUCGGAAUUAUUGGGCGUAAAGCGCGCGUAGGCGGCUCGUUGCGUCGGCUGUGAAAACCCGCAGCUCAACUGUGGGCUUGCAGCUGAUACGGGCGGGCUGGGAUUCGGUAGGGGAGACUGGAAUUCCUGGUGUAGCGGUGAAAUGCGCAGAUAUCAGGAGGAACACCGGUGGCGAAGGCGGGUCUCUGGGCCGAUAUCGACGCUGAGGAGCGAAAGCGUGGGGAGCGAACAGG